rnacentral:lncRNA from 1 species
AGCCGUGAGUCCCCUGGGAGCAUGCCUAAGAGUACAGCACCUUCGGCAGAGUGAAUCAGAACCUCGUGGGACCAGACCUUUAUCUUCUUGGCGGAUGCAACUACCAAUUGAUAGGCACAUGAUGAGAUCUCUGGAGAGGCUGGUCACAGG